rnacentral:rRNA from 1 species
GACCGGGACGGACGGACCUCUGGUGUGCCAGUUGUUCUGCCAAGGGCAUGGCUGGUUGGCUACGUUCGGGAGGGAUAACCGCUGAAAGCAUCUAAGCGGGAAGCCUGCUUCGAGAUGAGGACUCCCAUCUCCUUUGAGGGGGUAAGGCUCCCGGUAGACGACCGGGUUGAUAGGCCGGAUGUGGAAGCAUCGUAAGGUGUGGAGCUGACCGGUACUAAUAGGCCGAGGGCUUGUCCUC